rnacentral:tRNA from 1 species
GGACGAUUAGCUCAAUGGCAGAGCGUUCGCUUGACGUGCGAAAGGUUACAGGUUCAAAUCCUGUAUCGUCCA